UGAACUCUGUAGGAGCGCUGCUGUCAUAGGCCACCAAGGGCCCGGGAUGCCUGGCUGAAAUUUGAUGUUGCAGAUACCUUGGUGUCACUGGAAUCCAUGGAGUUGACACAGUCCUCUGAUGGCUGGAUUUCUGCUUUCUAAGGGUGUAUGGGAACUGUAUAAUCACAGCCUGACCCCCUGUUUGACUACCUGAGGCGAGUGCUGAGUCAGCUGCAGGGGCACAGGUGAUGGCAGUUUCACCUGAGUGACCGUAAGGGGUGGACCCUGGCUGCAGCCCUGCUAGACCCCAUGUAAGGGCUGACUCCCAAGGAGGAAGGAUCUCUAUCUGGAGGUCACCCUUAGUGGAGCCCUUCUGCGCGCCCAGGGUACGGGUAAGCUUUUUAUUUCAUUCCUCCUUUGGAAACGUGCUCAUCUCUCUGGUCCUUUACCUAUUUGCCUUACAAUCUGUUUGCCCUGCACACAGGUAAUGUUUAACCCUCCUAAUGGGUAGCCCUGAAGCCUUUUCUGUAAACGCAACAGGGAUAGGGUUAGCCCUCAUCAAGUAAGGGCCACCCUAACCUUCAUCCUAACCUACUAUGGUAAUUCUUCAUCCUUAACGCUAGCCCCUAACAGUAACCUUUAAGCCAAUCCUUAGGGGUUUUCCUUAAACCCUUACUCUAACUCAGCUUAGAAUCACAGAAUCGCUAAGGUUGGAAAAGACCUACAGGAUCAUCCAGUCCAACCAUUCGCCCUUCACCAAUGGUUCUCGCUAAACCAUGUCCCUCAGCACAACAUCCAAACGCUCUUUGACCACCACCAGGGUCGGUGACUGCACCACCUCUCUGGGCAGCCCAUUCCCGUGCCUGACCACCCUUUCAGAUAAGCACUAUUUCCUAACGUUCAGCCUCAAUCUUCCGUGGCGCAGCUUGAAGCCAUUCCCUCUUGUCCUAUCACUGUCACCCGAGAGAAGAGGCUGACCCCCAGCUCACUACAGCCUCCCUUCAGGUAGUUGUAGAGAGCAGUAAGGUCUCCCCUGAGCCUCCUCUUCUCUAGACUGAACAAUCCCAGCUCCUUCAGCCGCUCUUCAUAAGGUCUGUGCUCCAGAACCCUCACCAGCUUUGUUGCCCUCCUCUGGACACGCUCCAG
rnacentral:lncRNA from 1 species